AAAGCUUUAAGUUAAUAAAACUAUUAACCUUCAAAGUUAAAUAUAUAAUAAUAAAUUUAUAAGCUUUA
rnacentral:tRNA from 1 species